rnacentral:lncRNA from 1 species
AAGGAGACUCAAGUACUGAUAAUGUUCAUGAUAAGAAGAGUGUCAGACACACAAAACAAAAGGAAAAUGACAGAGACAAAAUUCUAAGUACUUGUGUUAUAGAAUGCUUAUUUAUUAGAACACAAUAAAAGCUUAUCUGGGAGAGGAAGGAAGGAAGGCAGAAUGAAUAACUCAACAUAUAUAUUUCAUAAAAAUAAGAUCUUAAAGGUUCAUAACCUGUAUAAUUUCAUGCCACAUGUCCUUCACUGAGAUACCCUCGUAAGAACCAGAUAUAACAAAGACAAGGCAUUUUGAGACAUGAGCAUAUUCGGUCUCUUCUGUGGCAAUCGCAAAUGUGACGAGAGAUUGCUCUUUUGCAGUCUUGUAGAUGCAUAUAUCAGAUAAUUUACAAAUAUAAAUUUUGUUUUUUUUUUCUUUCUAUAGACUAGGAGUUAGAUUCACGCACUAUAUAUGUUGAGAAGUAAGAAUCCAGCAUUAAAGCUAAUAAUGCUUUCACAUUAAGGCAUCAUCCAGAAUUUUUG